rnacentral:rRNA from 1 species
AUUGAACGCUGGCGGCAUGCCUUACACAUGCAAGUCGAACGGGGGUAGCAAUACCCUAGUGGCGAACGGGUGAGUAAAGCAUCGGAACGUACCCAGUCGUGGGGGAUAACGUAGCGAAAGUUACGCUAAUACCGCAUACGUCCUGAGGGAGAAAGCGGGGGAUCGCAAGACCUCGCGCGAUUGGAGCGGCCGAUGUCGGAUUAGCUAGUUGGUAGGGUAAAAGCCUACCAAGGCGACGAUCCGUAGCUGGUCUGAGAGGACGACCAGCCACUCUGGGACUGAGACACGGCCCAGACUCCUACGGGAGGCAGCAGUGGGGAAUUUUGGACAAUGGGGGAAACCCUGAUCCAGCCAUGCCGCGUGAGUGAAGAAGGCCUUCGGGUUGUAAAGCUCUUUCAGACGGAAAGAAAUUGCGCAGGUAAAUAAUCUGUGUAGAUGACGGUACCGUAAGAAGAAGCACCGGCUAACUACGUGCCAGCCGCCGCCGUAA